rnacentral:rRNA from 1 species
CCCUUAGAUGUUCUGGGCCGCACGCGCGCUCCACUGUUCGACGCAGCGAGUCUUAACCUUGACCGAAAGGUUUGGGUAAUCUUCAGCAAAGUCGAACGUGAUGGGGAUCGAUCAUUGCAAUUAUUGAUCGUGAACGAGGAAUUCCUAGUAAGUGCAAGUCAUCAGCUUGCGCUGAUUACGUCCCUGCCCUUUGUACACACCGCCCGUCGCUACUACCGAUUGAAUGGUUUAGUGAGAUCUCUGGAUUGACGCUGGCUAGGGGGCGACCCUUGGCCAGACUGUUGAGAAACUGCUCAAACUUGAUCAUUUAGAGGAAGUAAAAGUCGUAACA